UCAUUGCAUUGCAACUUCCGUGAGUCACACUAAUGUUCCGUUUGACCAAAACUGGAAAAUAAUGGUGGAUUUUUCGGUUGGGGUGGGGUACCUCGUCAAAAGACGAAAAUAUGAAUGUUUAAAACUCCAGACAACGAUGGCAGUGUGCACUGUUGUAUCUUCUUAACUUGUAAAUAAGAUUCCGGUGGAUAAUCUCCGUUGUAGAUAUUGUUUUAUGGCGGGUCUGUCUUAUUUAGUGUUCCGUUUUUCGGGGUCCGCUGGUCGGACUUAUGGGGUGUUUUCUAAAGGAUUGACGAGGACUUUGUUGAUAUUUUUUGAUCUCGCGUGGCGACUGCGAAUCAGAUUCCCAUACCUCUACCUCAUCGCUUCGAUGAUGUUCAAUGUGCGAUUACAGGUCCAUAUUGAGAUUCACUGAGUGUGUUACAACUGCCACAAUUGAGGACCCAACACCCCUGACUGCUCAUUAGUGGGCAUCUUCAGUCAGAACUUCCCAAAGAGACCCUGCAGACCUCACACAAUCAACAAUGUGGAAGAGGGCACUAGUAUCAGGGGCCAGUGUGACAAUGCGCAAUGUUACACGGCCGUUGUCUCAGCCACCCCUUGUCAUAGGAACCCAGUGCCUUUGCUUGGGAAGGACACCAUGAUGAUGUCAUUAACAAUGGCCGCCGGGGAGUGCAGAGAUCUGUGAGGUUGUACUGGGAUAUAUCCCUCACAGCCACUCGCCACCAGAGAUUCUUGAGCUGCCCAUCUGGUCAGAGGAGACAUAGGAAAGGAUGACCAGUGGAAUUCGACACUGCCUUUUUGUUGCAGACCACAAGGAGGACUGAGAAACAAAAAUUACAAUGACAACAAUGGAAUGAAUGUUUUUGGAACCUUAUUUCUUCUUCCUCUUAGAGUUCUGUUUGACGUGUUCAUCCGUGCUCAUCUGUAGUCGUCUCCGAAGGAAAACUGGAAACUUGUCAUAUAGUUCCCCUCAUAAUGAAACACAAGUAUCCACUAGCUUGCAUCUCCACCGCAUGACAUAAACCAGUGCAUGUUUUCUAUUCUCAGUGGUUUGGGCAUUUUUUUUGAGCGGUUUUGGAAAAGUUUGUUUGCCAAUGGAAAGAUGGUGCAGUGAGUUGGAAAGUGGAAGAGGAUACAUUUCAGUGUAGCUCAGCAGGGCUACUGUUACAACCUUUCAGUGUAGCUCAGCAGGGCUACUGUUACAACCUUUAAGUGUAGCUCAGCAGGGCUACUGUUACAACCUUUCAGUGUAGCUCAGCAGGGCUACUGUUACAACCUUUCAGUAUGGGUACGGUCACCUUUCAGUCUCGGUACGGUCACCUUUCAGUAUGGGUACGGUCACCUUUCAGUUAUAGAAAGGGCAAGGUGCUUGUUGUGUAAUGUGCAUCUAUCCUUAGUGUCACUUCUUCUCACUGAUUUGGAAUGGAAUGUUGCAGUGUAGGUGUCAGACAAACAGGAAGGAUCCAGGAAAGGAAUGACUGCAUGACACACAAACACACACUUGUCACCCACUUCUCUCUAUCGGUCAAUGGAGCUAACGAGGUGGCAUUUUAGAUUUGAAAUAAAUGGUUUAUGAUUUUGUCUUAGGUAUGCACUCAUCCUUAUUUCUCAGUAAAGUGUUUGUGGGUUUUGUCAAUUCUCGAGUCACUGUAUUAAACGGGUAAGGAAUUUAAUAUGGUUGUACCUCCUUGGGAACAAUAAAUUAUUAAACAAUCAA